UUCUACAAUGUGGUAACUAUACUACAAACUAUUACUGUGAAACACUAGAUGGCACUUCCUGCAUAAGAACAAUUAUUAAAAUAUUUUAAAGUUAAGAUAAGGUAUCCUUUAAAAGAUCAUCUGUAAAAUAUUCCCAUGUAAAGCAUCGAUAAAAAAUACAUUAUAUUGUUAUUGUUGUUACAAUAUUUGUAGUUUAAUAGUGUAAGUUUAUUGUCUUUCGUUUGUGAUUUUUUGGCAAUUUUAUUAUUGAUAAAAAAAAUUGACAGUGAAGGUUGCAUUACAAGGUUGGUAACAAUUGGUUAAACAAAACACAUCUAUCAAAAUCCAACAAAUCCGGGAGCAACAAACAAUUCAUUCAGUUUCCUUCUGAACGUCGUACAGUGAAAUGGCCAAAGACGAGAAUAAGAUGAUGGGCGGUGGAGGACUGGAGGUCUAUCUCGAUACCAACACUAGUGUGAUAACAAUCACAACCAAGAAGAAUAAUGCAGCCGGCGUGAAACCCAACAACAACAUCAAAAUGUUGCCGAUCUUGCCGAUGUCGCUGAUCAUCAAGCCGAAGAACGCCAAGGAAAACCAACAAGUGGUCAACAAAACCAAAUAAAAAAUGACUUGUUAAUUUAACAUUUUUAAUGCAGGGAUUGUUCAAUUUCUUCUUUAUUAAAUAAUUUGAAUUUAA